ACGAACGCUGGCGGCAUGCCUAACACAUGCAAGUUGAACGAGACCUUCGGGUCUAGUGGCGCACGGGUGCGUAACGCGUGGGAACCUGCCCUUAGGUUCGGAAUAACUCCCCGAAAGGGGUGCUAAUACCGGAUAAUGUCUUCGGACCAAAGAUUUAUCGCCUUUGGAUGGGCCCGCGUUGGAUUAGCUAGUUGGUAGGGUAAAAGCCUACCAAGGCGACGAUCCAUAGCUGGUCUGAGAGGAUGAUCAGCCACACUGGGACUGAGACACGGCCCAGACUCCUACGGGAGGCAGCAGUGGGGAAUAUUGGACAAUGGGCGAAAGCCUGAUCCAGCAAUGCCGCGUGAGUGAUGAAGGCCUUAGGGUUGUAAAGCUCUUUUACCCGGGAUGAUAAUGACAGUACCGGGAGAAUAAGCUCCGGCUAACUCCGUG
rnacentral:rRNA from 1 species